rnacentral:lncRNA from 1 species
GGGAAGGGCUGAAUGCUCUGUGUUUAAGGGAGAGAUAGAAUGGACAGCUGGGCAAACACACACCCGGGGACUCCUUUCUCCAAGACCGAUGGGCAUUGGGGGUGGCAGAGGAAAUACCAGCAUGGAACAACAUCCCAGGGACCCGCGUCCUCCCCAGGUUACAGUCCUGGGUCCCUGCAUGGCUGCAUGUUGUCUGCAGGCCACAUCUCCUCAGGACUCCCGCACUCAUCACUUUCCCAUUGCUAUGGAAGAGAGGUGUCAAGGUGGCACCUGCCUCCCUGUCCGUAGUGCUCAGGUGUGUGGCUACCAGAGGAAAAGCCACUCCCAACCUUUGCCGACAACCAUCCCGUUUCUGGGUUCCUGGAGAAGUCUGGGAAGCUGCUCUGUUGUAGAGGCUGAAAGGAGGGCUGGUGAGAGCCCCCAGCUGAAACCAGCCCUGCCCCUUACCCUUCCUCACCCCUCUACCUUCACUCUCCUCCUAACACUCCAGGGUUUUGUUUUUUGUUUGUUUUUUGCUUUUCUCACCCCAGGGCUCCUGCCUCUCCAGCCUGGAGACAGAUUUGAUUUGGGAUUGUUACAAAAAUAAUAAUAACCCAAAUGCAGAGAAGCCACGGAAAGGGCUGAGGGCAACCCUCCCCUCCCCCCGCCCUCCUCCCUCCCCAUUCCAAACCGAGUACAAAACCGCACCCAAAGCAGACAUUCUGUACAGGGGGGUGGGUGGGCUGGGGAGCAAGCGGGAGGGGCGGCCCUGCGGUUGCUCUGUACAAGUCCGGGUUGGUGACGGCCCCAGCAGUCCCCACAGGGCCCCUGGGGGGCGCAGGAAGUGGGCAGGCGCCUCUAGAUGAAAUAUUCCUUCUUGUCGUCCCCUCCUGACUGCCCGCCUUCUGCAUUGAUGAUGGCCGUGUCCGCGUCUGGAGCAUCGUCGGAGCCUUUUGCCUCAUGUGUCAGUAGUGGCCAAGGAAGAUGAGCAUGAUGAGCAGCAGGAAGACAAUGAAAGCCACGAUCCCACCGAUGAUGGCGUGUCCCGCCCACUUAAGGAUAUUCCUGGAAGAAGAUGCAGUAGCUCCUUCUACCACCAGGCGUCAGCACUGGAAACAGACGCAGUCCAACAGGACUCCCUCUGCCUGGCUGUUGAGCACAAAGCAGAGGGGAGAUCAGCAAGAUACCAACCACAAGGGCACAAGAACUUUCUCUCACUGCCAAUCAUCAUCAGAUUGGUCUGGAGAGAUCUGGGGGCAGAGACCGGAGCUCAGUGCAUUGUCCUUGCUCUUGGCAUCCUACAAUAGCCUUGUUGUGCUGAGGCAGCUCCCACAUGCUGAGGUCUGCCCCUGGAGUGGGAAUCACCCAUCCAGACAUUCUGAUCCCAAGAACUCAGACCUCUUAUCGCUGGGAGGCCUGGCUCUUAUCCCCUCAACUGUUUUAAUGAGUGUCUCAAGUAAGGGAGCCUCUGAUGUUUCCCCGACAAUGCAUUUCCCCUAUUCUGAGAAAAGAUAAGACUUUCUGGCGGGACCCACAGCCAUUGGGAUCUUCAAAAAAAUCGCCCGUCAACUCUCCAUAAAGGGGCCUCUGUGUCACCCUGUCACUACUCCUGAAGCUGGGUUUUGUGGUCACAGCUUUGAGAAGAACUUCAGAGAAGGAGCAUCACCUGGUCCUUCUAGAAGAUAUGGCAUCUGAGAAAAGAUUCUGUCUCUUGGCAUAGUACAAGCUUCUCUCUAUUUUCUGUCCAGACCCAGUACACUGUGCUUAAGGUGGGCAGAAAAAAAAAUGACAGCAGUUGCAUGCACCCAAUACCUAGUCUUAGGAGAAGCAACUCUGAGAAGAGCCAGUUAGAGAAGGAAAUGCACCUGCGCCUGCACUUGAGAGGCUUUGGGGCCUCUGCACACAGAAUUAUUGUUCUUGUUGUCAGACAAGUGCAGGGGAUGGAAGAUGGUGUCACCCAGGCCACCACUACCAAAGAAAGGCAGAUGAGAGCCCACCCUUCUAAUGUUUUUUCACUAAGCGGCCAUUACACAUUCUAGAGUGGACCUGGGACCUAAGCCCUCAGGGACCCCAGUGGUGGGCUGGUUUUCCUUUACUCCACUCCCCGUCACAGUUUGGGGAUGUUAUCAGGAAGCAUUUUAAAAAAGGGAAUAAGAUGGACAGAGAAAGGAGAUUCUGGAGGAAGAGAACUGAGGAGGGCUUACCAUUAACAUUGAGGGUGUAGUAGGCCUUGUAGCUGCCCAUGUUGCUGGUGGCUGUGCAGCCGUAGGUGCCACUGUCACUCUUGUUGAGGAAAGGGAAGAUCAGGGCACUCUCCUGGGUCAUCUUCAGGGGUGGCACACUGCCCUCCUUCUCCCAUAGGUACUGCUGGGGGCUGUCGAGGCAGACAAAUCAGAAGAGCUCAGGAGAGCAUAGGCCAGGGAGCUAAAAGAAAAAAAAAAAUAACUGGGAGCAGGGAUGUCAAGGACUGUUUGAUGAGGCUGGAGAAAUUAUCGGGGCCAGAGACACUGGAGCUGCUAUACGCCAGGUGGCCUCUUGGGGUUCGUUCUGGGGAAGCUGUAGAUCUCCAGACUUGUAUCUUACUUUAACUUGGCCUUUGUGGGAAACUCAGGGACUGAGUUAGGGAGUGGCCCCUUCCCAUUUGUGCUGCUUUGCAGAAGAACUAAUUGCAGGCGGACAUUAUUGGACAGUCAGGGAAAUGAGAGGCUCAGGUCAGACAAUACAGAGGAGAUAGGAAGGAGCUGUUAUGUGAAGAAGGCAAUCUGAGAAUGUGGAGAGUAAGGAGGAGACCAGGAAAUGGAUCUUCUUACACUGGAUUGCCGCGACCCUCACAGUGUAGCAACAGCUUCUGGCCCUCACGAGGAUGGGGAGGGUCUGGCCUAAUCAUCGCAGUUGGUGUGUCUGUGGAGAAGGAAAUGGUAUCAAUGAAUACCUCCCCACACGGCUUAGGAGAUUCCCUCACUUAGUUGCACACUACAGCUUCUACCUCUAAAUGUUUCCGCAGCUCAAGAAGUGCAACAAAGACCUUCCUUCUCCUACUUCUCAUGAACAAGGACCAUUAUUGCUAUUGAAUAUGUGAGCAACUUCUCUUGCAACCUUGUGUGAUAGGAUUCUGGAAGGUCUGUCCUUGGUGGGCCCUAAGAGAUGUCUUAACAGAAAGCUGAGAAGGGAAAUGAGUGGUUUACCUGUGCCUAGCAAACCUCCUAGCACAUAGGAAAGACCUAAUACAUAUUUUUUACAGAACAAAUAAAGUUGAACUUGUCACAUAUUGAGCUCACAA